rnacentral:rRNA from 1 species
AUGUGCAAGUUUAGCAAUAAUAUCAGGCUCUGUGCCUUACAUUUGAUGACCUAUCACGGGCCUGAAUCUGAUGCCAUAGCUGGUGCCAUGUUGUGUAUGUCACAGGAGGCAAAGAAGGCACACAAGUACCUUCAUACGAAGGAUGAUAAAGCCUUUGCAAAGCUCCAAAUAUGUUUUACUAUACCACGCUCUCCGACGGAGCGUCGUCCUCGGCAACUGGCGGCAGGACAAGCCCUCCGCCGUAUGAUGCGAGCAGGCCUCACCCUGCAGAGCGGCGCGGCGGCGCAUGUCUUCAGCCGCCGAGUGACCCCGCAGCCUCGACCUCCUGCACCAGCCCGAGGCGACCACAGCCCCGGCGCGGCGACUCUCUCGACACCUCUUCCUGUGGAUUUCUUCACAGGUACUUAA